rnacentral:lncRNA from 1 species
AUGUUGCCACUCCUCCAACAUUUUCCUGUCCUGCAUCUAACUCAAGGUACCUUCUUCUGGUGUAGUACUGGCUACCAUCUCCAUACCUUGUACAGUAUAAAUCCACAACUUCUGGUGCCAUCUCGGAGUGCAGCAACAGCAACACUUCUUAACCAGCAGAUGAAGGAGGGAAAAAGGGCCUUUAACAGAACUACAGAAGGUAGGAGGUGUAUGAGACAAAAUUCACACUCCCACCAAAGAGGUAGAGAAAAAGCAGCUGGAAGAGGCACUUACUUCUUCAGUGAUACAGCUCCGUUCAGUCUUGGAAAAUCAUCGUGCAUAUUGAACAUGACUGCUGGAGGAAGGCUACAUGCUGUACUCACAAAGGGAUUUGAACGCUGAAAGAUUCCUCUUUCAGGUGUUGGAAUUAAACACACGUACUCUGGUUUUGGUUACAGCAUCUUCUGCUUCAAAGUCAGCAUAUAUGCAUAUACAUUAUUACUUCCUGUGAUUGCCAUAGCUGUAUAAGUGUAUGGGCAGCAGCAAUUCAUUUUUUUCAUGCCAAGGCCAGCUCUGCAAGUUCUACUGGGAUAAUUAAUCCCAUUGUGGGAGAAGAAGGUCAUGUAAAAAUAACAGCUAAAAUGGGGUAAGAAGGUGGAUAUAACUAUGUUGUUAUAAAGAUGACACAUCCAAAUGAUGGUUUUCCUUGCUUUAUAGGAAUAGCUAUCCCUGUAUAAAGCACCUUUAAACAGAUACAGCUAUAGACUUGACAUGUCAGAAGUUGAGACAGCAGGGAAAUUGCAUUGCUUUAGCUCUAUCACAAUAAUUAAAAUAGGACCUAUUUUAUUUGGGACAAGCCCCAAAUAACAUAUGGCAAUAAAAAAUUACUUCAUUUGGCA